rnacentral:lncRNA from 1 species
UCCAUCGGAUUGACCUAUGAGAGCGUUUGUUGGGCCUGAUUGGCAUAAGUGUGUCCAGUCCCAUCUUCAGGUAGGCAGACCUGGGCUGUAUAAGAAAGAUGGCUGGACAUGAGCUUGAGAACAAGCCAGUAAGUAGCACUUCUGUAUGGUCUCUCCUUCAAUUCCUGUGCUGAGUUUCUACCUUGGCUUUGAUGAUGGGCAGGGACCUGUAAUCUGAAAUGAACCUUUUCACCACCAAGUUGUUUUUGGUCAUGGUGUCUACUACCAAACCAGACACCAAACUAAAACAUCCUGUUACUUCUCUAGCGUAUAGGCAUAUGUAUACACAGAAGACAUCAUUACACAUUAUUAAGUAUACACAUUAUAAAUAUGCAUAUGUAGUAUAUGUAUAUUCAAUGAAAUGUUAAAAUUAUUAAGAAAAUCUUUCAAAAUCAAUAUGCUAAAACAAAUGUAGAAAUGCACAUCUGUAUUUGCUGCACUCUGGAGGCUGACACAACAGACUUACAAGAUCAAGGCCAGCCUGUACAUAUAAUUAGUCCCCGUCCAGCCUGGGCUACAUGGUAAACUCCUGUCUAUGAAUGAAUAAGCAAGCAAACAAACAAGAAAUAUUUUUUAAUUAGUUCAUGUACUUUUUUAGUUGGAUUUUAAAAAACAUUUUCUAAGAGACUAGGUUGAAUUAUGAGCUUUUGUUUAUAAUUCACAAUUUUUGUUUUGUUUAUAUGGCCACAACGUCUAAAUGAUGCUGGAAGCAAGCUAUGGAAAUGGAAGAGGCAGUGGCUGUGCCUGGAAAUUCAGUAUUCUACCCGUGGUACUGGAGCCUGAACAUUCUUCUUACACUGCCCAACUGAGCUGGGAAAGAAGAGUUGGAAACCUCAGCUGUCCUUGGAGGCUGCCUUGUGACUUACUUGACUUUUCUGAGCUUCCAAGUACCCACAGGUACGACUGCAGAGAAAGGAAGAGUGUUUAAGAAAACACGAACAGCUCUGCCUGCCAAGUCUGUGCUCGAGCUGCCGUUUCUCACGUGACAGGUGUUGAGAAGAGAGGAAGCUUGUCUAAAAACCCAAGUCCAGGCAGGAAUUUCCAUCCCCUCUGGUUAUCUUACCGAGUUCCUAGAAUAGAAGCAUGUCCAAGCCUAAGUGUGAAUCUAUACAAACAUGACAUUAUAACAACAGAUUUCUUCACCACGUUCCACGCCCAGCUCGCGGAGCGGCAUCAGCUCCACAGUCCCCUCUUGCUGCUGUCUUUCAGUCCGUUGUGUGACCGCUUUGAGCAGUUUUGACCUUAGCGCCGUUUCUCCACAGUCUAGUAUACUAGAUAUCUACAAAGGGCAUGUUUUCCUCAUCAACUGCAUUGCUAGGUUAGAUCUCAAAUAAUUAUUCUACUAAUUGCAAAUUAUUCCCAAAUAAUUUGUUAUUUUAUGUGUGUGGGGGAAGGGUGGUUUUACUUGGGUGGGUCGUUUAACAUCAGAACUUUUAGAUAUGAAAGACUAGGGGAAAAAAAUGGUCGUAGAGUUGACUCAACCUGGGAAGUGUGCUUCAGCCUGGGGAUUCUCAGCUGGCAUUUUACUGAAGUUCCAUUCAUUAGCUGAGAUUUCAGAUGUUCUAAGAUAUAUACAAGAAGUUGACUGUGUGUCUAUGCAUACCCUGACCUUUAUUCGGUUUAUCACUCAUAAAUGUAAUACUGAAACUCUUACUUAGGGAGACAGUGAAAAAGUUCAAUUUCUCAUCACUAAUACCCUGGGAGCCUUUGCUAGUCCAUGUUAAUUUCUUAAAUGACUAGGUAUGUUUCUUAAUUUCUGAUCCCAUUUCAUCCUCUGGAAAAAUGGAACAUGAUAGCUGCUAGCUAAAGGGGCUAUAUAGGUUAAAGAAGACUGUAUGGAAAGCUCUCAGGAUAUUACCAGAUACGGAACAAAUAUUCAACCCAUGGUACAAACAGUGUCUCUCAGAGUUGAUGCUCACUAUUACUUCAGGAGGAAAAGUAGACAGUGGUAGGGAGCCUAAGGUGCAGGACGGCUUUGAUUGUCUGAACUUAAAGGCAGAUAUACUACCGACUUCAAAUAGUAAGAAUGUAACUGUGCAGACAGCUUUCCUGCUCCUAAACCACAGGUCAUGCCACAUAAAAUCUGAGGGAGGAAUGCAAGAAGAGGGUGUUACCUCUCUCUUGGGUGACUUGAAUUCCAUGGCAUAGAAAGAAUGGAAGAAUGAAUCUAAAACUAGUUUUAGUUUCUUCAAAGUAUUAAUGUGUGUAGCUUAAGGUAGAGGUGGUGUCAUGGCAAACGCUUUUGGUUCACCAAGAAUCCUAAGCUCUAGUCUGCAAGAAUUGGUCUCCUUCAAAGUUUGGAGCUGUGACGAAAGGAUGGACCAUCUAGAGACUGCCAUAUCCAGGGAUC